AGUAAGGAGGAUAGUCGCUUGAAAGAUUUAUUCUUUCAAGAGGAAAGUCGGGACUUUAUAGGAUGAGGCUAGUUGUUAACGGCAACUUUGAGUAAUCAAAGGAAAGUGCUACAGAAAAGGAAACCACCAAAAUUAAUUUUUUGGAACGGGUGAAAAGGUGAGGUAAAAGCAUCACCAGUAGAGGAGGUGACUCCUUUAGCUUAGUAAACCCUAGUCAAAGCAAGACCAAAUGAGAAAGUUUUAAAGUUGACGAAAGUUAAUUUUAAAUGGUGUUCAUCCGCAUCACAAAUCUUUCUAGGUAGUGUCGCUUGAGCUUAUUGGCAACAAUAAGUCUAGAUGAAUGACUAUCAAAAUAAGUAAUACUUAUUUACAGAAUCCCGCUUAUAUCCUUGCUCUA
rnacentral:RNase_P_RNA from 1 species